rnacentral:rRNA from 1 species
GAUGAGCCCGCGGCCUAUCAGCUAGUUGGUGAGGUAACGGCUCACCAAGGCUAAGACGGGUAGCUGGUCUGAGAGGACGACCAGCCUCACUGGAACUGAGACACGGUCCAGACACCUACGGGUGGCAGCAGUCGAGAAUUUUUCACAAUGGGCGAAAGCCUGAUGGAGCGACGCCGCGUGGGGGAUGAAUGGCUUCGGCCCGUAAACCCCUGUCAUUUGCGAACAAACCCUGCUAUUUAAAAGAUGGCGGGCUGAUUGUAGCGAAAGAGGAAGGGACGGCUGACUCUGUGCCAGCAGCCGCGGUAAUACGGAGGUCCCAAGCGUUGUUCGGAUUCACUGGGCGUAAAGGGCGCGUAGGUGGCCGGGUAAGUUCGAUGUGAAAGCUCUGAGCUUAACUCAGAAAUGGCAUUGAAUACUAUCCGGCUCGAGGGUCGGAAGGGGGACUGGAAUUCUCGGUGUAGCAGUGAAAUGCGUAGAUAUCGAGAGGAACACCAGUGGCGAAGGCGGGUCCCUGGACGACUCCUGACACUGAGGCGCGAAAGCCGGGGGAGCAAACAGGAUUAGAU